rnacentral:siRNA from 1 species
GUAUACACACUUGCAGGGCAC